rnacentral:rRNA from 1 species
CUACGGGUCGCUGCAGCUGAGGAUCUUUUACAAUGCACGAAAGUGUGAUAAAGCGAGCCAGAGUGUUGUUCUUAGAACAACUUUUGUCUGCUGUAAAAAGGCAGAUGAAUAAGGACUGGGUAAGACCGGUGCCAGCCGCCGCGGUAAUACCGGCGGUCCAAGUUGCAUCCAUUUUUAUUGGGUCUAAAACAUUCGUAGCUUGUUUUGUAAGUUUCUUGUGAAAUCUUAUGUCUCAAACAUGAGGCUUGCAAGAAAUACUGCAUAACUAGAGAUCGGAAGGCGUAAGGAGUAUGAUUGAGGUAGCGGUAAAAUGUGUUAAUCUUAAUCAGACUAACAAUGGCGAAGGCACCUUACGAGUACGGAUCUGACAGUGAGGGAUGAAGGCUAGGGGCGCAAAACGGAUUAGAUACCCCAGUAGUC